rnacentral:misc_RNA from 1 species
GGCAUAAUGAUGGCGGCGCUGUCUCCAGCAGAGACUCAGUGAAAUCGAAAUCGCAGUGAAGAUGCUGUGUACCCGCGGCUAGACGGAAAGACCCCGUGAACCUUUACUACAGCUUUACAUUGAACUUUGACCUUACCUGUGUAGGAUAGGUGGGAGGCUUUGAAGCAGGCACGCCAGUGUCUGUGGAGCCAUCCUUGAAAUACCACCCUGGUAAUGUUGAGGUUCUAACUCUGUCCCGUUAUCCGGGACGAGGACCAUGUCUGGUGGGUAGUUUGACUGGGGCGGUCUCCUCCUAAAGAGUAACGGAGGAGUACGAAGGUGCGCUCAGCGUGGUCGGAAAUCACGCGUAGAGUAUAAAGGCAAAAGCGCGCUUAACUGCGAGACCCACAAGUCGAGCAGGUACGAAAGUAGGUCUUAGUGAUCCGGUGGUUCUGUAUGGAAGGGCCAUCGCUCAACGGAU